GGGGGGGGUACAAUGGAAUUAUAAGUACUAUGAAGUUUUGUUUGUAGUCAACUUUUGGGUUUUUGAAUCAGUGUGGUAGGAUGAAACGCUGACCAAGUGGUUAUUUUAUGGAAAAAGAAGCGCUUAGCUCUCUGGGAAAAAAAAUCCUAGGGACAUGAUAUCUUAAAGGGGUAUACACACAUGGCAUUUUGGAAGUUUUGUUUUCUGAGUUUAAUUAAACACGUGAAAUUCUUUUGAUAGGGAAUGUUCUGGGAACCUGGGAUACAACAUGUAGAUAAAGUACUUAGCCUUCAUUUGUCUAAUGUAGUAAGAAAUACGGUUCUGAAAGGGUGGUAUGACUUUUGACCCCUCUGGUGACUUUUCCUUUUGUGGUCUGAUCAGCCGCAAUGAAAAGCCAUUUGGAUGGAGAAUUUAAGGUCAUUUGUGAAACUGACUUUAAGGAAAUUUGUAGAACUGAUAAUUAUGAUGGAGUUAAAGUUCUUAGACACAAUUGAUAAUUUGAACCAAUGAGAAGACAAAAUGACGAUAAGGGUACAAUAAUUUUUCUUUGUGGAGUAGUUCAGAUUAGUCAUUUUGAUCUGAUUAUGUUAUGUGAAUAUCGUUUGAUAAUUAAGGGUACUUUUUACAUUAUCUAGAUCAGUUUAUUUUCCCUUAGGAAGUCAGCUGAGGUUGUAUUCAGUGGAAGAGAUUCAACACAACAAGGCUGUGGAAUUAAUAUAAUAGUAUUAUUAUAUUUUGUUGUUGAAUAAGUUUAAUAAUGGUAGACUUUUGUCAACAAGACAGGAAUAUAUGUCAUCUGUAGGUGAUCCAGGAUCAUUGAGGGUAUUGAGAUAAAUUAAAGUAGCUAUGUAAUAAGACAAUGAGACAUUUAGUACUCCCCUGCACUGCUGAAACCUUGAUGGGUUGGAAGUAGCAGGAGGAGAGCAUAAGCCAGGAAGAGAAGAUAAAAGUGAAACAGAAGAAUUAGGUAACGGUUAGUGAGUGAAGACCAGCAUAGUUAAAUUAUAAACGGGUGAGGACAGAAAUAACACUGGGAGAGACAGAAAAGACAUAAGAAUAGAAGAUAGCAGGAUAAUUUAGUUUGGUUCAUUUAGUUAGGAUAUUAAUACAUGGAGAGACUGGCAUGUAUUUUAGUUUUGAUUUUAAGUUUAUGUUUGGUAAAUUCUCUAAGGAGAGAUAUGACUAUUUACACAGACAAGCACAUAGGCAUUUAAAACCACACAAAGCAGCACAGAUAAAUCUUAAGACACUUGACAGAGAAUUGUUACAGGGUAACUAAGGAUGAAUGCCCCAGGGAGAGUUGGACAUGUGGAAAAUGAGAGGGCAAUCCUACAAGAGAAGGGCUGACAUAAGGAUAAUAUACUGAUCUUAUCAAAGACAUUGUUUAGAUAUGCAGCAAAAUUGAUACAUGGCUUGAGCCAUGUAUAAAUAGGGGGAGUAUGGUAGAGAGUAUGGUAGAGCAGGCGAUAGAACAGGUUAGGAUAAUUACUUAAACAAGAACAUAUUACUUAAACAAAAACAUUUUUUGUAGAAUAUCCAUUCCAACAUUUGGAAAUUGACUUAUUGAACUAUUCCAAAUUGAGGGGAAGAAGGGGUAACAGAUAAGUAUAGCAAAUGGGUAGAAGCGUUCCCAACUUACUUGGUGGACAUGAUUAUGGUAACUAAUACAUUAGGACAAGAUAAUAUCCCUAGGGUUGGGGUACUGAAAUCUAUCUCUUUAAAUUAUGGAUGACAUUUUAGCUAAUCAGGUAGAGCCUAUAGAAUGACAGAGUUAGGGAGAAUAGAGAUACCAGAACAGGUAGACAUAGAAGUUGAAGAAAUAGUAGCAGAACACAUGAGAAGACUGUUUGUUAACCAAACCCGUAUGUCCAAGAUUUUGUGUCCAACAGGUGAAUUACAGGAGAAGAUGAUUCACUCAAUCCAACCAGGAGACUGGGUGUGGAUCCGAUCCCUGAGGAGAAAAAACUGGAAGCAGUCCCGUUGGGAAGGCCCAUACCAGGUGCUGUUAAACCAUUGCCUUUGCCAUUAGAAAAGCUGAGAGAGUCACUUGGGUCCACGUUAUCCACUGCAAGAAGGUAUGUACACAUAUGAGCACUGCUGAUCACACACAGAGUUAGGAGAAGAACCGAGUACCAACAGGGUCCGGGGGUUACCUCCUUAACGAAGAUUUCCUAUCCCGACCGUUCAUCACUGUGUGUGCUCCUAGAGGUGUGAGUAUGGGGUGGUACCAAGCAGAGAGACUAAGGGCAGGAGAGGGUUGGCGUUUUUUGGGAAGAGUAGAGACUCUGAGCUGCAUCAUAGUCUAAUCUUUCUGAUACAUUCAGAUCCACCACCUUCUGGUACUAAUCAUACGAUACCGUUGUCAUUGAGAAGAAGUAGAAGAUAAACUAUAUAAUACACUGAUGAGUGACUUACAGAAUAAGGAGUCAAAGAAGAUCAAGAUGUAGGAUUUAAGAGAUUCAUGAAUGAAACCGGGGAUGCAGUAAAGAGGUUCUCUGACCAAUUAUCCGCCACCUCCCUCAUGACCUGGUAAAAUAGACUGACUUUCGAUAUGUUACUGGCAAAGAGGAUGGUGUAAGUAGAAUGAUUAGGUUCAUUGCUGUACGUACAUUCCUGAUAACACAGCUCUUGUUUGGGAAAUGAAAAAGUGUUGUAAGAACUGUAUUAUGGCCAGCUUUCACCUGUAUGAGGUUUAAUCACCAGAACUCUAGAGAGAUGGAUAACGGAGCAGAUGGUGAGAUACGGACCGAGUCAAAGUUCAGACCAAUGGGACGACAAGUACCUACCGCCGAGCAAGGUGGAGGAUUCAUUCAAAAAUGAGGAGCACAUGUUAGAUGAGACCGUCUAUUGGGAUUCAUGAAUUAGUUUGAUUUUGUGUGAAAUUUCUGAAUCCAAUAAAAAUAGAUGUGUUAUAAUGUAUGUGAAAUAUCUAGCAAAACGGGUGGAUUGUAAUGGAAAUUAUAUGAUUUUAAGCCCUAUUGAGACUUGACAAGCUAUCUGCUGAGAUGAAGGGUGUAGCAGGGGUAGGCGAGGGGAAUUGGAUGAAUAACCUUUUUUGGCAAGUACACAUCUAUGGUGGUUACUGGAUUUCUGACCCUAGUGCUUGUGUUCCUAUUAUUGAUAUGUUGUGCUGCCUGUAUAAUCCCAUGCUUAAGAAAGUCUCUUACAGAAGUUGUCAGAGCAACCGUAAUGAUGCCUUUGAUGGAAUUGACCCCGGAGAACACUAAAUCCAGCACUGGGCAAAAGAUGGAUCUGUCCGAGAACGAUCCUUGGUUUGCUGUUAAGGAAGUGGUUGAAUAAAGCGUAUACACAAUAAAUUCAUAUGUAUUGAAUGUAGUGGCAGGUGGAUGUGAAGGUUUUAAGUACUGGGACAAAGUGUCUGUCCCACACAUGUUAGGUGUAGCCACUGUCUUCUUUUUAUAAGUUUUUUAAUUAAUAUGUUCUGAAUUUAUCCUGUAUACUAUUUGUCUUUCCUUAUGUGAAGGUUUGAAGUUCCUGGGUGACUGGUAGUCAACCUAGUACAAGUGAGGUGUAGCCGGAAGGAUGUGAGGGUUUUUAACGAAUUAUCUAAUCAUUAAAAUGGAGAUAUACAAAUUGUGUUGAGUGACACCCUAGGGGGUGUCAAAAGGGGGAAUCCUAAAUUUCCCUGAAAUUUCUUAUUGGAGUAUGUUCACACCCCAAGGGGUGUGAAAGGGGGGAUUGUUAGGGUUAAACUGGCUAUUUGUUUGCAUAACCUAUAUAAUAUACCGGGGAAGCUAUGCUACAAUAUUAAGUAUAUAAACUACGGAUAAAUCAACUGCUGAAGACAAGAACUACACCCGGCGACAGGAAGUGCGUCACUAGGCUGGGACCAGCCUGCACGCCGACGUUAGGAUGAGCAAGUUUAAACCACGCUCAUCCUCCCUCUGACAGGCCAGCAUUGAGCGGGAACUAUCUCUGUCAGAGUAUAUAAGGGAGAACAAUAGGAUGUGACGUUCUCUUCUCUGUCUGCCCUGCGUGGUGUCACAGCGAGACCGUAUAUAUACGAACAACAUAUUUACCAUACAAGUGUUUGCAAUAAUUAAAGAACAAAGAAAACUUGAGUUACUCUUUGCUAAAUAAUUUGUUCUAAUACCAGAUUCGAAUUGACACGACUCGACAUUACUACGUGCAGAAAGUUAAUAUUCUGUUCCAUGUUUCUAAGGAGGGAGGCGAAGGGCAAUAGUUAGUCUCUGAUAAGGCAUGCCAGCUACGGAACCAGGGAGGAGCGAGGAAUGCGGCUCAAGGUCAAGUCAUAGGAUGAAGUGAGAAGAAACCUCUGGGAGGGGGUCUGAGAGGCCCACCACAACGAUCCUCCUACCACAGUCCUAUAUCACACACAUACACUUCCACGCCCACAAAGGUUCUAGCAUCAGGCAGGGCCAUGACUACACCAGUGAGAGGAACCAAUUAAGUUCCUUCUUAGCAACAGAGAUGUAUUGGCUGUCUAGAUGUGUAAGGUGUUGACCCCGCCUAUUAGGAGGUUAUAAAUAUAUGUGCUUGUGUAAUCAUGUCUUGUCUUUGCAGCUGUAUGUCCCAGUGGGUGAAUAAACUUGGUUUGAGCUUUUUCUAGUCGUCCAUUUGAGUUUUUACUCUGUUUGUUCAGAACCUAACACUAAC
rnacentral:lncRNA from 1 species